rnacentral:RNase_P_RNA from 1 species
GCGGGCAGGCGGGCGAUCGCGGCUUUUUGCCGAGGAAAGUCCGAACUCCGCAGGGCAGUGUGCCUCGUAACUCGAGGGCCCGUAAGGGACGGAAAGUGCCACAGAAAACAUACCGCCGGGGAGCGAGAGGGAAAAUCGGGUCUGGCGGGUCUGACACCAAUUGAAUUAAAUCUACCGAGUGCUGUGAAUUUAAUUGGUGUCAGACCCGCCAAACCCCGAUUUUCCCUCUCGCUCUCCGGUAAGGGUGAAAAGGUGCGGUAAGAGCGCACCAGCGGUCCGGCAACGGAUCGGCUUGGCAAACCCCACAUGGAGCAAGGCCAAAUAGGGAACGUGGCGCCGUUCGCGGCGCUGGGGACGGCCCGUCCUGGUUUCCGGGUAGGCCGCUUGAGUUUUGGAGAAAUCCAAAGCCUAGAUGAAUGAUUGCCGCCUGGAUCGAAAGGUCCAGGUACAGAAUUCGGCUUAUAGUCGGCCCGCCGAC